AAUCAACGCUGGCGGCGUGCCUAACACAUGCAAGUCGAACGCGAAAGGGGCUUCGGCCCUGAGUAGAGUGGCGAACGGGUGAGUAACACGUGGGUGACCUACCUUUGAAUGGGGGAGUAACGUCCCGAAAGGGACGCUAAUACCGCAUAACAUCCUGUCUUUGAACAGAUGGAGAUCAAAGCCGGGNUCGCAAGACCUGGCGUUUGAAGAGGGCCCGCGUCCGAUUAGCUAGUUGGUGAGGUAANGGUC
rnacentral:rRNA from 1 species